AGUGAACGCUGGCGGUAGGCCUAACACAUGCAAGUCGAACGGCAGCACAGGAGAGCUUGCUCUCUGGGUGGCGAGUGGCGGACGGGUGAGGAAUACAUCGGAAUCUACCUUUUCGUGGGGGAUAACGUAGGGAAACUUACGCUAAUACCGCAUACGACCUUCGGGUGAAAGCAGGGGACCUUUGGGCCUUGCGCGGAUAGAUGAGCCGAUGUCGGAUUAGCUAGUUGGCGGGGUAAAGGCCCACCAAGGCGACGAUCCGUAGCUGGUCUGAGAGGAUGAUCAGCCACACUGGAACUGAGACACGGUCCAGACUCCUACGGGAGGCAGCAGUGGGGAAUAUUGGACAAUGGGCGCAAGCCUGAUCCAGCCAUACCGCGUGGGUGAAGAAGGCCUUCGGGUUGUAAAGCCCUUUUGUUGGGAAAGAAAAGCAACCAGUUAAUACCUGGUUGUUCUGACGGUACCCAAAGAAUAAGCACCGGCUAACUUCGUGCCAGCCGCCGCGGUAA
rnacentral:rRNA from 1 species